UAGGGAAUCUUCCACAAUGGACGCAAGUCUGAUGGAGCAACGCCGCGUGAGUGAAGAAGGCUUUCGGGUCGUAAAACUCUGUUAUUGAAGAAGAACGUGUGUGACAGUAACUGGUCAUGCAGUGACGGUAUUCAAUCAGAAAGUCACGGCUAACUACGUGCCAGCAGCCGCGGUAAUACGUAGGUGGCAAGCGUUGUCCGGAUUUAUUGGGCGUAAAGCGAGUGCAGGCGGUCUUUUAAGUCUGAUGUGAAAGCCUUCGGCUUAACCGAAGAAGGGCAUCGGAAACUGGAGACUUGAGUGCAGAAGAGGAGAGUGGAACUCCAUGUGUAGCGGUGAAAUGCGUAGAUAUAUGGAAGAACACCAGUGGCGAAGGCGGCUCUCUGGUCUGUAACUGACGCUGAGGCUCGAAAGCGUGGGUAGCAAACAGGAUUAGAUACCCUGGUAGUCCACGCCGUAAACGAUGAAUAC
rnacentral:rRNA from 1 species